rnacentral:rRNA from 1 species
CACUCCUGCGGGAGGCAGCAGUGGGGAAUAUCGCACAAUGGGCGCAAGCCUGAUGCAGCCAUGCCGCGUGUAUGAAGAAGGCCUUCGGGUUGUAAAGUACUUUCAGCGGGGAGGAAGGCGAUAAGGUUAAUAACCUUGUCGAUUGACGUUACCCGCAGAAGAAGCACCGGCUAACUCCGUGCCAGCAGCCGCGGUAAUACGGAGGGUGCAAGCGUUAAUCGGAAUUACUGGGCGUAAAGCGCACGCAGGCGGUCUGUCAAGUCGGAUGUGAAAUCCCCGGGCUCAACCUGGGAACUGCAUUCGAAACUGGCAGGCUAGAGUCUUGUAGAGGGGGGUAGAAUUCCAGGUGUAGCGGUGAAAUGCGUAGAGAUCUGGAGGAAUACCGGUGGCGAAGGCGGCCCCCUGGACAAAGACUGACGCUCAGGUGCGAAAGCGUGGGGAGCAAACAGGAUUAGAAACCCUAGUAGUCCCAUGAU